CUCCCCCUUGUCCCCCGGCCGCCGUCGGAGCUGUGUGCGCAGUGCGUGUGCUCCGGACACCCGGACACGCCGGCCCGGCCCCGCCGCACCAUUUAUUACUAAAAAUACUAAAAAAGCCAAAAAAAAUCAAAAAAUCUUAAAAAAACCUUUUUAAAAAAAAAUAAGCCUCCCUUCCUUCCACCUCCCGACGACCUCCUGCAACCGGCCGGUUUGAUAUAAAAGAACCCGGUGAAGCGAAGUCCCGGACCCGGCGCAGCCGAGAGGAGACACCGAGCAGCCCGCCCGACCCCGCCGCACCGCAUCGCACCGCCAGGCCCGGCCCGCAGCGCCCGCCCCGCCGCGCCGCCGCCGCCGCCCGCAGCCGUUAAGUUUCGAAUCCGCCUCCGGAGAUCCCCCCGGCGCCGCCGUCGCCUCCCGCCGGCCGCUGCCCCGACGGAGCGCCCGUCCGCCGCGGCCCCCUCGCCUCGCCAGCGCCUCCCCCUUGCCCUCCCGCGCCGGGAGACGGCGGCAGGAUGAACCCCAGCGCCCCGAGCUACCCCAUGGCCUCCCUCUACGUGGGGGACCUGCACCCCGACGUGACCGAGGCCAUGCUCUACGAGAAGUUCAGCCCCGCCGGGCCCAUCCUCUCCAUCCGCGUCUGCAGGGACAUGAUCACCCGGCGCUCUCUCGGCUACGCCUACGUCAACUUCCAGCAGCCCGCCGACGCUGAACGAGCUUUGGAUACUAUGAAUUUUGAUGUCAUCAAAGGCAAACCGGUGCGCAUUAUGUGGUCCCAGCGUGAUCCAUCUCUACGCAAAAGUGGCGUUGGAAACAUCUUCAUCAAAAACUUGGACAAAUCAAUUGACAACAAAGCUUUGUAUGACACUUUUUCUGCUUUUGGAAACAUCCUUUCUUGUAAGGUGGUAUGUGAUGAAAAUGGAUCCAAGGGUUAUGGAUUUGUACAUUUUGAGACACAAGAAGCUGCAGAAAGAGCUAUUGAAAAAAUGAAUGGUAUGCUGCUUAAUGACCGCAAAGUAUUUGUUGGAAGGUUUAAAUCCCGCAAGGAACGUGAGGCAGAGCUUGGAGCCAGAGCAAAGGAAUUCACCAAUGUUUACAUCAAGAAUUUUGGAGAAGACAUGGAUGAUGAGAGACUUAAGGAACUCUUUGGCAAGUUUGGUCCUGCCUUAAGCGUGAAAGUUAUGACUGAUGAGAGUGGAAAAUCCAAGGGCUUUGGCUUCGUCAGUUUUGAAAGACAUGAAGAUGCCCAAAAAGCUGUAGAUGAAAUGAAUGGAAAAGAGCUCAAUGGGAAACAAAUCUAUGUUGGACGGGCUCAGAAAAAAGUGGAAAGACAGACGGAGCUGAAGCGUAAAUUUGAGCAAAUGAAGCAGGACAGGAUCACCAGAUACCAGGGUGUAAACCUUUACGUGAAAAAUCUCGAUGAUGGAAUUGAUGAUGAACGUCUUCGAAAAGAAUUCUCCCCAUUUGGUACAAUCACUAGUGCAAAGGUCAUGAUGGAAGGUGGACGCAGCAAAGGAUUUGGGUUUGUCUGCUUUUCAUCACCAGAAGAAGCCACCAAAGCUGUCACAGAGAUGAAUGGUAGAAUUGUGGCUACUAAACCAUUAUAUGUAGCUCUAGCCCAGCGUAAAGAAGAGCGCCAAGCUCAUCUCACCAACCAGUAUAUGCAGAGAAUGGCAAGUGUAAGAGCAGUCCCUAACCCAGUAAUCAACCCCUACCAACCAGCACCUCCUUCAGGUUACUUCAUGGCAGCUAUCCCACAGACUCAGAACCGUGCUGCAUACUAUCCUACUAAUCAACUUGCUCAACUUGCUAGACCUAGUCCUCGCUGGACUGCUCAGGGUGCCAGACCUCAUCCAUUCCAAAACAUGCCUGGUGCUAUCCGCCCGGCAGCUCCCAGACCACCAUUUAGUACCAUGAGACCGGCUUCUUCACAAGUACCACGAGUCAUGUCAACACAACGUGUUGCUAAUACAUCAACACAAACAAUGGGUCCACGUCCUGCAGCAGCAGCUACUGCAGCUACUCCUGCUGUACGCACAGUACCACAGUACAAAUAUGCUGCAGGUGUUCGCAAUCCUCAGCAGCAUCUUAAUACACAGCCACAGGUUGCCAUGCAGCAGCCUGCUGUCCAUGUGCAAGGUCAGGAACCCUUGACUGCUUCCAUGUUGGCUUCUGCCCCUCCACAAGAACAAAAGCAGAUGUUAGGUGAACGUCUAUUUCCUCUUAUUCAAAGCAUGCACCCUACUCUGGCGGGUAAGAUUACUGGUAUGUUGUUGGAGAUUGACAACUCUGAACUCCUUCACAUGCUCGAGUCUCCUGAGUCUCUUCGUUCGAAGGUUGAUGAAGCUGUAGCCGUACUACAAGCCCACCAAGCUAAAGAAGCUGCUCAAAAGGCAGUUAAUAACCCUACUGGGGUUCCAAGUGUUUAAUAAAUGACCUGCAAUCAAAUUGUUACAGUAACAAUGGAUUGUGCCUAGUCCAAGGCCAGGCUGAGCAGCAUGCUGUUCAGUUGUAGACUCCUUUAUCUUAACCAAGCAUCACAGACUUGAGACGCUUUAUUUCAGCAUCUCUAAAAAGUGGGGCACCUACCUCUCUGAUGCAGUGCUUGUAAAGAACGUUGGUGUGAGUUAUACUCUGAAAGCCCAUAGUAUUUUCAGAAAGAUCCGGGAACUACAAUCUAGAACUUCGCUUCACCGAAGAAAAAAAAAAAAACUUAAACAUGGAAAAACUAUUAAAUAUUGAGAAAAACAUUGCAAAAUAUAAAAUGAAUAAAAAAAGGAAAGGAAACUUUGAAGUCAAUGUACAGAGCAAUGCCGGGGCUAGUAAAACAAAUGCUAGUCCUAGAUUACUUAUUGAUUUAAAAUUAAAAAAAAAUAGUAAAAUAAAAAAUACAAAUUAAUGUUUUAUAAACCCGGGGGAAAAGAAUUUUCAGCACAGUACAAAAAUUUAAAGCAUUCCUUUCUUUAAUUUUGUAAUUCUUUACUGUGGAAAAGCUCAGAAUAUCACCACUGUUUUAGUUGACAGUGGGAAUUGAUAGCUGAGCAAAGAAACGUAAUUUGGAUUAUAAAAUUCUUCGUUUAAUAAAAAUUCCUUAAACACUGA